UGGAGGCAGCAGUGGGGAAUUUUGCGCAAUGGGGGAAACCCUGACGCAGCAACGCCGCGUGGAGGAUGAAAUCCCUUGGGAUGUAAACUCCUUUCGAUCGGGACGAUUAUGACGGUACCGGAAGAAGAAGCCCCGGCUGACUUCGUGCCAGCAGCCGCGGUAAUACGAGGGGGGCAAGCGUUGUUCGGAAUUAUUGGGCGUAAAGGGCGCGUAGGCGGUUUGACAAGUCUGAUGUGAAAUCUAUGGGCUCAACCCAUAGCCUGCAUUAGAAACUGUCGGGCUUGAGUAUGGGAGAGGUGAGUGGAAUUUCCGGUGUAGCGGUGAAAUGCGUAGAUAUCGGAAGGAACACCUGUGGCGAAAGCGGCUCACUGGACCAUAACUGACGCUGAGGCGCGAAAGCUAGGGGAGCAAACAGGAUUAGAUACCCCAGUAGUCC
rnacentral:rRNA from 1 species